GUGUUCCUCACCUUCCACACAUUCCAUAAAUUUGGAACGAUACAGAGAAGAUUAGCAUGACCCUCAAUCAUAAAUUAAAUAUAUUUAU
rfam:Orchesella cincta Ocin01_Sc3640, whole genome shotgun sequence.